GGAGGCUCCAUGGUGGCUCUCAGGAAUAGGGAGUGCUUCUGGUAGGGGAAAGGAGUGCAUGAAGAGUUUCUGCAAGAGAGCCCCGGAACAGAUACUCUUUGGCCAAGAUGGUGGAGUAGAAAGACCCUGAGCUUACCUCCUCUCAUGAGCACACCAAAAUCACAAGUACUUGCAGAACAACCAUCAAUGAAAAAGUCCAGAACCAACCAGAAGAGAUCUUCUACAACUGAAGACAUAAAAAAGGAACCAUGAUGAGAACAGGUAAUCUACAGAAAUACUACUCUUGGCAAGUGGGAAAAAAAUUAAAUAUGGAUUUUUAUCUGGUUUAAAAAUGGAAUGUUUUUCUUAAUGCACAUGCAUUUGAUAAUUAGGAAAAAAGCACCUUACAUAUUAUUUUCUCAUACAGAUUUUAGAAAACUUGGAGAAAGCCAUAAUGAAAGCAGUGUGUGCCUUUGGAAGUUGAACUUACUUCCAUUUAUCAUCCAGAUUUUAGCUUAAGUUCUGACAUAUUUGCAAAGUAUUUGACAAAUGUCUGUACAUAUAUAAAGUCAUAAUAUACCUCGUAUUAACAUGUUACUUUUGACAUGUGGAAUCACUGAUAAUUUAC